GAUGUAUUCCUCCGUCCAACAGAAGAUGUCUCAACUUUGACUAAAUUUAAAUUUGAAUGUAUCUAUACACUAAGUCAUGUCUAGAUACAUCUAAAUUUUGACAAACUUGAGACAUCUUUUGCUGGACGAAUGGAGUACAUU
rfam:Brachypodium distachyon strain Bd21 chromosome 1, whole genome shotgun sequence.